rnacentral:ncRNA from 1 species
AAUGAAUUACCGCCGGGUAACGCUUUUUAUUCACGCCGUUAGGCCUUAGAAGGAGUGAAUGGGAGGCGGUAUUUUUU